rnacentral:rRNA from 1 species
GACGAACGCUGGCGGCGUGCUUAACACAUGCAAGUCGAACGGAAAGGCCCUGCUUUUGUGGGGUGCUCGAGUGGCGAACGGGUGAGUAACACGUGAGUAACCUGCCCUUGACUUUGGGAUAACUUCAGGAAACUGGGGCUAAUACCGGAUAGGAGCUCCUGCUGCAUGGUGGGGGUUGGAAAGUUUCGGCGGUUGGGGAUGGACUCGCGGCUUAUCAGCUUGUUGGUGGGGUAGUGGCUUACCAAGGCUUUGACGGGUAGCCGGCCUGAGAGGGUGACCGGCCAAAUGGGAAUGGGACAACGGCCAGGACCCCAACGGGGGGCAGGGGGGGGAAAAUUUCCAAAAGGGGCGGAAGCCUGAGGGAAAACCGCCGGGUGGGGGAGAACGGCCUUGGGGUGGAAAACCGUUUUCGCGUGGAAGGAGGGGGGAGGAACGGUAAUGGGGAAAAAAGCACCGCCUAACUAGGG